ACCGUCUCUCUUACCCCUAGCCCCCCAGGUCUACGAAACGAUUCAUUGACGCCGACUGUACGCACAGUAUAAAGUAGAUAUAAAGAGAUUUCAAACAGAAAAACCAUUAGUUCAAAUUUUCGAUUUGGUUAGAAUAAAAUAACUUUCCAUAGAAGAAAUCAGUCUUACAUUUUGUAUUUUAAUUGUCAAAAAUAAGAGACAGUUGUAAUAUUACUAUCGUGUCGUUGUCUGUUUUUUGUUAACAUGGAUUAUGCGUACCGCGGUAUCGUGUGGUACUAUAUUACCGUGCAUACUACACGUGGCUUUACCGCGUCUAUAUAUAAAGCACAUAGUCCUUUGUAUAUAGGCAAGUCAGAUUUGAAAAAUUUUUACUAAACUAUCACAUGAUACUUAUAACAAACUUUUGGAAACAGAUAAUUGAUGUUUUAUUCUUAAUUAAAAGUGAAGAACAUCAGUAAAGAAAGACCUAUGUUGCAUAUAUAUGCCAAUUCAAAAAAAGAGAUAUUAAAAGAAGACUUAUAUAGUUACAACUCUAAUCUCUUUAUGGUAUAAAUGCACGUUUAAACCUGUCAAGAAGGAAAAGUAUUUGGUUCUGUAAUAAGAGGAAAAUCGUUCAAAGGAAGUACGAUAAGGUUGCUUUGCUUCAAUUGAUUUUCUAAAUCAGUUCCAUUUUGAAUAUCUCCAAGAAGAAUGAGAUUAUUCGGUUUGUCUAUUCUUCCCAGUCUAAAGCCACGUAUUCGUAAUAAGUUUUGAAUAGAAGAACGUAAGAGUAAAAUGAUAUCUUCUUUUAUUUCAUCAAACGUGCGAUCUCUUUCUAUUUCGAGCAACUCAUCAGAUACACCUGAAUAUAAACACAAAAUAUAGAUACAUUAACCAAUUCAGGCUUGUUUGCAAAUAAAUAAAUCUGUUUACUUAAACAUUUAAUACAUAAAAUAAACAUAAACCUAGUCCUCUCUGUUUCAAAAAUUGUAAUUCGACAUUGGAUGGGAAAAAAUCGGCGUGUGCUAAUUUCAUUAAAACUACUUUCUUGUUAAAUGUCUUCUUUCUCUUACCUCUUCUAUUUGGACUAGAUAUAUCAGUUUUUCUAAACUUUCCUCGAGUAGCUGUCAUUAAAAAUAAAAAGUCUCGUUCUUCUUGUGUUGAUUUGUUUGACGCAGUAGCUACUAUUUUUAACAGACGAUUAGCUAUUUCCGUGUCAUCAAACACUUUUGCUUAGAAAAUAGAUUGUACGUAGAUAGAUCAUACACAUCAUAUUAUUAAACAAAUAUUUAAGGUUUUAAUUAGAUAUAAUGUUAUUUCUCCUGAAUAUUCUUCCAGUAGCUUUCACCAAGGAUGAAAAAUCUCGUUCUUCUUGAUUUAUUUGACACAUAAGUGUAUAACUUCUAAACAGGACAACAUUCUACUGUUAAUAUUUUUUCUCUUUUUUUUAUGUGAAAGAGCGCACAAAAUAAGCGUUCCUUUGUGCGCUCGCACCUAAGCAUGUACUUUUGAAAUUCAUUGUGAUAGUUGGUCUAUUGCUUAAUACAUAGUGGUAAGAAUAUUUUUGUGUAUAACUCGAUUGUGUAUAAUUAAAUCCGGCGGGGAUAAUAUGUAUAAUAGUUGUUGAAAAUGACGUCUAUAUUUAACAUCAGUGAUAUAGCUUGUAAGUAAAUUAUCAAAUAAUUGAAUAUUAAGUAUAAUCUUCAUUUUACAUAAAAUACAUGUGCAAUUUUUACGCAGACCAAGACAUUAUAAAUACUAUAACUCUUUUAUUUAAACGCUUUUAUACAACAUUAGGUAAAAAUUAAAAUGUAAUUUCUUGAAAGUUUAAAUGUAAAAUUAACGCUCUAUCAGCUGUCGUAGAAUAUUGCAUAUCAUUAUUAUAUAAUUACUCAAAGAAGAAAAUAAACUGCACAAGAAAUUGCAAUAAAGAACCAAAAAGUUUCAUCACACUUUAAUUGUAUCGUUUUAAAUUAAAAGAGAGAGAGAGAGAGAGAGAGAGAGUAUUACGUACAUAUCUUAAUAUGUUAUGUUUAUUAAUCAUGUAAAACUGUAAUUGAAAACUGUCACUAGAACUGUGUCAAGACCACUAACCAAAUAAAUAAGUAUUAAUCUAUUCAUUCUUAACAGGAUAUAGUAUUCCGAUUUAAAUCUAUAUAUAUAAGUAAAAAGUAAAUGAUAUUUUGGUAUUAAUUGAUUAAUAGCUCGUAUAUUUCUUGACUUCUUCCAUAUUUAAACACAUAUUCAAGUCAUAUAAUGUGCAUACGUUUUCGGUAAGAUUAUAGUAUCGGUAAAUGUAAUAAAUAUUGAUCUUUGGCUUAAACCUACUGUGUCAUUAAAUUGUACAAUAAUAUUGGUAGGCAUAAGAAAAAAUCCAGUAAUUAAAAAUACUAAAUUUGCCAGCUUAUCUUUGUCAAGACAUUGAAUGUACAUAGUAAAAUAAUGCAAUACAUCAGUUUCUUCAUUUGUUAAGUAAAGGUCAGUCACUAAACAAUUUAUGACUUUUGUCGCAGUAGGUGUUUGCAUAUUUAAAAGAACAUCGAAAUCACAAUUAUUCCAGAAAUCAGCAUGAUUUUCAGGUGAUACACUAUACCGAAUGCUAGAUUAGUAUCGUGCUUUUUGUGAAUUUGUUUCGGACAAACAACUAAUAAAUAAUAAUACAGAAUAGACCUUAUAGAGCUUAACGCCGAAUGUAUGUGCGAAUUAUAUAAGAUGUCCGGUAAUUGCCGUACAAUUUUUCGUAGAUAGAUAAAGGAAAUCAUACUGAGUCGAAACGUUCUUUAUUAUUUUGCAAACUUUGCAAUAAUUAAAGAGAUGUUAAUUAAUAAUGAUUCGCAAAUAAGCGUGCAUUCACGUGCGUAAGACAGUCCAGCGUUUCACACGCUCACAACUGUCACUCCCAUGACAACAAAAUGAGAAGAGCUAAUUAUAAUGGGAAGAGCUAGAUUAUUAUGUAUUAUAUUAUAUGUUGUUGUAUUAGAGAGAGAGAGAGAGCUUUUCCCAUUCCGUUGUCAUGGGAGUAAUAACGUGAGCGCGCGAAACACUGAGCUGUCAUGUUUGCACGUAAAUGCACGCUCAUUCACGAAUCUUUGUUAAUUAUCAUCUUUGUCAAUUAUUGCAGAAAGACUUUGACCUCCUUUACUUGUCUACAAAAGAUUGUACUGCUAUUACCGGACACUCUGUAUAUAUAUAAAAUAUAUAUACAUAUACAUAUAUAUAUAUAUAUUUUGCGUACAUCCGACGUAGCUGUAUAAGGUCUUAUUCUUUAUUAGUUGUUACUCAUCUGAAAAAAUUUAUUUAAAUAUUUAUUGUUUUGGACACAUUUUGUGAACAAAUUCGUAAAAGACGCGACACUACUUCAAAGGUCAAGCCGAUUAAUAUUUUUACAGUUUUUUUAUACAAUAUAUAUUAAGAAGUUAAAAAAUUUGUACAUAGUAAAUA